UGUGGGCGUGGAGACUGCGGACACC
rnacentral:misc_RNA from 1 species